rnacentral:siRNA from 1 species
UUUAAAGAAAUGAGGGAGCUCAUU